CUGCCGUCCGACUGCCGUCUCCAUGCUCAGAAUACAUCACCCUGCUCUGCACGGGCAGUGGGAGUAGGAUAGGGGGUCCCCAGAAAUGCUUAUGCCCCCAAAGUGGCUAUUUCUAAACAGGAAUAAAAGGCACAUAAGUGCAAGACCUUCUUUAUGGUAGAAACCUACACGUCGAAUGGAUGCACUAUACACAAGGCACCAAGAAGACACAUUGGGAAAAGGGUAGUUUCUUUAAUAAAACAGUGCUGGGAAAACUGGAUGUCCAUAUACAGAAGAAUGAAAGUGGAUCCCCAUCUUUCACCACAUGUAAAAAUCAACUCAAAAUGGAUUAAAGACUUAAAUGUAAGAUCUGAAACUAUGAAACUACUAGAAGAAAACAUUGGGGAAAUGCUACAGGACAUUGGUCUUAGCAAAGAUUUCUUUGGGUAAGACCUCAGAAGCACAGGCAACAAAAGCAAAAAUAGACAAAUGGGAUUAUAUCAAGCUAUAAAGAUUCUGCACAGCAAAGG